rnacentral:misc_RNA from 1 species
UUUACUUUUUUAAGUUUCUUCAGAAUGCCACUGAAAUCAGAGUUGCAAGCCUCUGGCAGAUUUGUUUGCUUCCCUCCCAGGGAAAAUCUGCCGAAGCAACCAAGAAAAUUCGCAAAGGGUUGAGAGUGUAACUCAGUAAUGAUCCCUCCGCUGGUUCACCAACGGAGA